rnacentral:rRNA from 1 species
UGGGGGAUAUUGCACAAUGGGCGAAAGCCUGAUGCAGCGACGCCGCGUGGGGGAUGAAGGCCUUCGGGUUGUAAACUUCUUUUGCUCUGAACAAGGCAUGCCUUUGGGGUGUGUUGAGUGUAGGGGUUGAUUAGCGCCGGCUAACUACGUGCCAGCAGCCGCGGUAAUACGUAGGGCGCGAGCGUUGUCCGGAAGUAUUGGGCGUAAAGGGCUUGUAGGUGGCUGGUUGCGUCUGUCGUGAAAGCUCAUGGCUUAACUGUGGGUUUGCGGUGGGUACGGGCUGGCUUGAGUGCAGUAGGGGAGGCUGGAAUUCCUGGUGUAGCGGUGGAAUGCGCAGAUGUCAGGAGGAAUACCGGUGGCGAAGGCGGGUCUCAGGGCUGUUACUGACGCUGAGGAGCGAAAGCGUGGGGAGCGAACAGG